rnacentral:rRNA from 1 species
AUGAUGGAGCGGCAGGGCGAGGCGUGGUGCUCGUGCUCGCCGAGGCAGUGCAGGAUUUGCCACGAGGAGGAAGGGGACGACGGCUGCGCAACCGCCAUGGAGUCUCCCUGCGGAUGCUCUGGCUCCCUCAAGUAUGCUCACAGGGGGUGCGUGCAGAGAUGGUGCGACGAGAAGGGGAGCACCGUCUGCGAGAUUUGCCUCCAGAAUUACGAGCCUGGAUACACCGUUGCUCCCAAGAAAACUCAAGUUGCUCAUGUCGCAGUCACCAUCAGAGGGAGCCUGGAGGUCCCAAGGCAGGAUUAUGAGGCACCGGAGGAUGCCCCGUUGAUCGGGCUCGACGCGGCGGCGGGCGACCCGGCCUACGCCGAGUGCGCGAGCGCCGCCGGCAGAAGUGCUGCAUGGUGCCGGUCGGUGACGGUGACGUUCACUGUUGUGUUGCUGCUGAGGCAUCUCAUCGCCCUGGUGACCGUCGGCGCCGCGAAUCAAUACGCUUUCAGCCUGCUGACGAUAUACUUGCUGAGGGCGAGUGGGAUCUUGCUGCCGUUCUACGUCCUCAUGCGGCUCAUCUCCGCGGUGCAGCACGGUCAGAUGCAGUACCGGCUGCAGAUGCUCCAGGAGCAAAGAAGGAACGCAUCAAGAAUGCACAGGGUGCCCGGUCAGGGACGACAGCAGCAUGUGAUUCUUGUUGUCUGA